UUAUCGGAGAGUUUGAUCCUGGCUCAGGACGAACGCUGGCGGCGUGCCUCAUACAUGCAAGUCGAGCGGACAGAUGGGAGCU
rnacentral:rRNA from 1 species